rnacentral:tRNA from 1 species
GGAGAUAUAGCUCAGUGGUAGGGUGAAUGCUUAGCAUGCACUAGGUCCUGGGUUCAGUUUCUAGCACCUCUG